rnacentral:misc_RNA from 1 species
GAAAUGCGAUAAGUAAUGUGAAUUGCAGAAUUCAGUGAAUCAUCGAAUCUUUGAACGCAUCUUGCGCUCCUUGGUAUUCCUUGGAGCAUGCCUGUUUGAGUAUCAUUAAAUCUUCAAAGUAAAUCUUUUGUUAACUCAAUUGGUAUCUACUUUGGUAUUGGAGGUCUUUGCAGCUUCACACCUGCUCCUCUUUGUUCAUUAGCUGGAUCUCAGUGUUAUGCUUGGUUCCACUCGGCGUGAUAAGUUAUCUAUCGCUGAGGACACUGUAAAAGGUGGCCAAGGUAAAUGCAGAUGAACCGCUUCUAAUAGUCCAUUGACUUGGACAAUACUUUUAUGAUCUGAUCUCAAAUCAGGUAGGACUACCCGCUGAACUUAAGC